AAUGAACGCUGGCGGCAUGCCUUACACAUGCAAGUCGAACGGCAUCAUGACCUAGCUUGCUAGGUUGAUGUCAAGUGGCGGACGGGUGAGUAAUGCAUCGGAACGUGCCUUUUAGUGGGGGAUAACGUAGCGAAAGUUACGCUAAUACCGCAUAUUCUCUGAGGAGGAAAGCAGGGGACCUUCUGGCCUUGCGCUAGAAGAGCGGCCGAUGUCGGAUUAGCUAGUUGGUGAGGUAAAGGCGCACCAAGGCCACGAUCGGUAGCGGGUCUGAGAGGAUGGUUCGCCACACUGGGAGUGAGACACGGCCCAGACUCCGACGGGAGGAAGCAGUGGGGAAUUUUGGGCAAUGGAGGCGAGCCUGAUCCAGGCAUGCCGCGUGAGUGAAGAAGGCCUUCGGGUGGGAAAGCGCUUUAGGCUGGGAAGAAAUCGAACCCUCUAAUACAGGGUGUGGAUGACGGUACCAGCAGAAGAAGCACCGGCUAACUACGUG
rnacentral:rRNA from 1 species